rnacentral:rRNA from 1 species
UACGAAGGGUGCUAGCGUUGUUCGGAAUUACUGGGCGUAAAGCGCGCGUAGGCGGCGGCACAAGUCAGGGGUGAAAUCCCAGAGCUUAACUCUGGAACUGCCUUUGAAACUAGGUCGCUUGAGUGUCGGAGGGGAUAGCGGAAUUGCUAAUGUAGAGGUGAAAUUCGUAGAUAUUAGCAGGAACACCGGUGGCGAAGGCGGCUAUCUGGACGACAACUGACGCUGAGGCGCGAAAGCGUGGGGAUCAAACAGG